rnacentral:rRNA from 1 species
AACGAACGCCGGCGGCACGCCUAACACAUGCAAGUCGCACGAGAAAGUCCCCGCAAGGGGACCGGUAAAGUGGCAGACGGGUGAGUAACGCGUGGGUAACCUACCCUCGAGUGGGGGAUAACCCCGCGAAAGACGGGGCGUAAUACCGCAUAACAUCCCGGAACCGCGAGUUUCGGGUAGUCGAAGGUGGCUCGCAAGAGCUACCGCUCGGGGAGGGGGCUCACGUUCCAUCAGCUAGUUGGUGGGGUAACGGCCUACCAAGGCGGUGACGGAUAGCUGGUCUGAGAGGACGACCAGCCACACUGGCACUGAGACACGGGCCAGACUCCUACGGGAGGCAGCAGUGAGGAAUCUUGCGCAAUGGACGAAAGUCUGACGCAGCGAUGCCGCGUGGGGAGU